UAACACCAGAACACAGUGGAUAUUCUUGACUGGGGGCAAAGGGGGGCAAGAGUUUAUAAGUAUUUUAUAAUUAAAUACACUGAUAGAAAAUAAAUUAUUUUGUUUUCUCUCUAGUGCAACUGUUGUUCAAAAUCUAGAGAACUUUUGGGUUGGAAUUCAAAGCAAAACUCUCACACCUACACAUUCUGAGUCAGUUAACGUAACAGGAAAAAGUAAAAGGAAGCUUAUGAUAGAAUUAGAAUGUAACAAGCGUGGAGGGACUUAUUCAACAGGCCGGUGCAUCAUGGUAAAUAUUCCUUCUCCAAAGACAUUGACAUGCUGCUAACUGCCCAAGUUCUCAAGGCCUAGUCAAAAGCUCCUUCUAGACAUGUCUUUAUUCCCG
rnacentral:lncRNA from 1 species